rnacentral:rRNA from 1 species
GACGUAGGGUCUAAGCGUUGUCCGGAUUUACUGGGCGUAAAGAGCGCGUAGGCGGCUCGGUAAGUGUGAAGUGAAAUCUCUAGGGCUCAACCCAGAAACUGCUUUACAUACUGCCAAGCUGGAGUGAUGAAGAGGUUUGUGGAAUUCCUGGUGUAGCGGUGAAAUGCGUUGAUAUCUGGAGGAACACCGGUGGCGAAGGCGGCGUUCUGGACUGCAACUGACACUGAGGAACGAAAGCCAGGGGAGCAAACGGG